GCCACUGCACUCCAGCCUGGGCGACAGAGCAAGACUCCGUCUCAAAAAGCAAAAACAAACAAAACAAAACAAAACAAAAACUCCAACCCUCUUGGGAAAGCCCAUCUUCUACUAAGUCCAUUCUUAUUAGAGGCAGGAGGUCCAUCAUCACACCCUUCUGAAUCUCAGUUUCAAAGAGACCAAGCCCUUUGCCCAGUCUUGAUAAAAUAAUGGGAGAAUGCUAGCCUUGUCCUGCCAGAAUGGCACCUUAAGCUUGAUCUCUCUUUCUAUGUGGUUUCAUAGUCCAAUGCCUCCAGCAGCAGAAGCUCGGCAGGAGCCUGGAUGGCCAUCUUUCUUCUGAUAGCAAUAAGCUGGAUGCUGGGAUAGAAGCCUGAUACCUCCUCCAACCCUAGUCCUUGGCCUCUAGUUUACUCGCCUGAGGCAAGGGUAGAGUGGAGGAAGAUUUAGGGAAAGCAAGUAGUCCGUUUUAUUGUUACGGACCAGAGAGGUUGGGGGUGCAGAUGAAACCAACAUCUGGUUGGCCGGGCACGGUGGCUCACACCUGUAAUCCCAGCACUUUGGGAGGCCGAGGCGGGCGGAUCAUGAAGUCAGGAGAUCGAGACCAUCCUAGCUAACACGGUGAAACCCCGUCUCUACUAAAAACACAAAAAAUUUGCCGGGCGUGGUGGCGGGAGCCUGUAGUCUCAGUUACUCAGGAGGCUGAGACAGGAGAAUGGCAUGAACCCGGGAGGCAGAGGUUGCAGUGAGCCGAGAUCGCGCCACUGCACUCCAGCCUGGGUGACAGAGCGAGACUCCAUCUCAAAAAAAAUAAAUAAAUAAAAAUAAAAAAAAUAAAAAAUAAAAAAUUCAUUUGCA
rnacentral:lncRNA from 1 species